UACCUGCAGCUCAAGUGGUGACCGCUAUUAUUGGGCCUAAAACGUUCGUAGCCGGUUUGGUAAAUGCCUGGGUAAAUCGUGUAGCUUAACUAUACGAAUUCCGGGUACACUGUCAAACUUGAGACCGGGAGAAGCUAGAGGUACUCCUGGGGUAGAGGUGAAAUUCUGUAAUCCUGGGGGGACCACCAGUGGCGAAGGCGUCUAGCUAGAACGGGUUUGACGGUGAGGAACGAAGCCCUGGGGCGCAAACCGGAUUAGAUACCCGGGUAGUCCAGGGUGUAAACGCUGCUUGCUUGAUGUUAGUUGGGCUCCGAGCCCAAUUAGUGUCGGAGAGAAGUUGUUAAGCAAGCUGCCUGGGAAGUACGAUCGCAAGAUUGAAACUUAAAGGAAUUGGCGGGGGAGCACAGCAACGGGUGGAGCGUGCGGUUU
rnacentral:rRNA from 1 species